rnacentral:lncRNA from 1 species
AAUGGAUGUGACUUUUCAUGCCAUGGACUUGGUGUCAUGGAGCAGCAAGAUCCAUCACGAAGGAAAUGGUUUUUCACCAGUCAAAAUGAAGGCCAAGGAUCUUUCCGCUCCAAGAGAGGAGAGGAGCAAAGAAGGAGGAGAAGGGGUGGUGAGACAUGAUUUCUGUUGCCUUCCCAAGACCAUCUGUGCUACUCUGAUCAAUAUCAUGACUGGCUUAUCAGCUCCUUUGUCCUUAACAUACUUUUGAUCUAGACAAAUAAAU